ACUUUCUUCCUCCCGGCCGGUGAGCCCCCCCGAGCGCCACGUCGACGUGACAAUGACAACCACCCGCGCCCGCACCCCUACUUAAGCUGCGCCGCACCUCCUCCCUUCCCUAGCGCCAGGCAAACCCUAGCUAGGGUUUCCUCUCCCCCAUCUCUUGCGCCACCGCCGCCGCUCCGUUCGGGCCGUGGACGCCGCCGUGCGGCGCCGUCGUCUCCGACCUCGUCGAGCCGAGCCGAGCCGAGCGCGUCACGAGCUUCGCUUCUUCUUCCUCUUCGUCCGCGUGCAAGGUAUUUGACGAAGGGCGCCUGCAGCGACGCCUAGGACAACUUCUCCUCUUCGGCCGCCGGCGAGUUCUUCCCAAAUUCCGGCGCCGACGAGCAUCUCCGGGGACCAUCUUCUGCACGAGUUUCCGGAGGAACAGGUGAGUGGUUACUUUGUGGAGUUUGACGACGACAACUUCGACGUUUAGCCAGAAGAUUCCAGAGCAGGGUUCUGUGAACUUGUGGCGGCUCUCCAUUUUCAGUUUCAGCCUCUUAGGCAAUAAUUGUAAGUUGUCCGUACUCGGGCAUAAUUUGCUUCCGCUGGUGUAAUGAUGAUUGUGGACAUGUGUCCGUGAGUUGUAAUAACUUGGUAUUUUGCUCUAUGUAUGAGCUUGACUUAAUUCUUGAGUCUUAGAGCGA